GAUGAAGAACGUAGCGAAAUGCGAUAAUUAAUGUGAAUUGCAGAAUUCCGUGAAUCAUCGAGUCUUUGAACGCACAUUGCGCCUCAUGGCAUUCCGUGAGGCAUGCCCAUCUCAGCGUUAGAAAAUAUUCUCAAAUUUUAGUUUUGUGCUAAAAUUUGGAUCAUGUCAAGGAAGCUAUUACUAUUAUUGUGAUCGCUCUUUGGAAAUUGAUAGGUCUUUGAGUUGCUACUCAUAGAACGUGAUGAAUCUUUCUUCGUUCUAUUGUAAUUCACUCUGGUAGUCCUAAAACUUGUAUGCCUGUGGCAUAUCUUGUAAUUUGACCUGAGAUUGGGUAGGGAUACCCGCUGAACUUAAGCAUAUCAAUAAGCGGAGGA
rnacentral:misc_RNA from 1 species